rnacentral:rRNA from 1 species
ACUCCUACGGGAGGCAGCAGUGAGGAAUUUUGCGCAAUGGGGGAAACCCUGACGCAGCAACGCCGCGUGAGUGAUGAAGGCCCUCGGGUCGUAAAGCUCUGUCAAGUGGGAAGAAAAUGUAAAAUGUUAAUACCAUUUUUCACUGACGGUACCACUGAAGGAAGCACCGGCUAACUCCGUGCCAGCAGCCGCGGUGAUACGGAGGGUGCAAGCGUUAUUCGGAAUUAUUGGGCGUAAAGGGCGCGUAGGCGGCCUUUUAAGUCAGAUGUGAAAGCCCGGGGCUUAACCCCGGAAGUGCAUUUGAAACUAAAAGGCUUGAGUAUGGGAGAGGGAAGUGGAAUUCCUGGUGUAGCGGUGAAAUGCGUAGAUAUCAGGAGGAACACCGGUGGCGAAGGCGACUUCCUGGACCAAUACUGACGCUAAGGCGCGAAGGCGUGGGUAGCAAACAGGAUUAGAUACCCUGGUAGUCCACGCAGUAAACGGUGAACACUANGUGUAGCGGGUAUUGACCCCUGCUGUGCCNCANCUAACGCAUUAAGUGUUCCGCCUGGGGAGUACGGUCGCAAGAUUAAAACUCAAAGGAAUUGACGGGGGCCCNCNCAAGCGGUGGANCAUGUGNNNNAAUUCGACGCAACGCNNAAAACCUUACCUGGNUUUGACAUCCCGGGAANNCUUUUGAAA